AUAGUCUAUUGGUCAAAAUAAUUAUUAAAUGUUUUUAAAUUACUUAAAAGUUAAUAAAGAAUGUGUGAAUAUGAUAAUGUACGUCCUGGAAAACUCGUAUUAAAAGGGGAAAAGCAAAAAGAUAAAAAGCGUAAACACAAACAUAAAAAACAAGAGGAAGGCCCAAAUAUUGAUCAAGACGCUAUCGAGCAUGGUAAUUGUUGGAAAGCAAGGAAAUUUGAUGAUUGAAAUGGAGCCAUAGCAAUUGAAUUUGGAACACACACCUAAGUGCGCGCUUUAGAUAAUGGAGUUUUACUUUAGGAGCCCCGCACGAUGAAAGUGAAGGACCAGCACCUGAAAAAGACUUAUAGUGGUUCCAAUAAAUUAAUGUCAAUGUGCUUUGAAAUCGGGUUAUAAUAAUUAUUUGAGUGUGGAAAAAGAUGGGAAAGUUACAGGAAGGUCUGAUGCAAUUGGGGCUAUGGAACAAUUAUAUAACAAUAUGGAAUAUAAUCUUAUUAUUUUUUUUUACAAGGAACUGUACCUUUACCUUUUUCGUCAUUUUAUUAAAUAAGACUCUUAGUCGAAUAAACUA